AGUAUAAGGCAGCAAGACAUCCUGCCUUUCUUCCUCCUACCCACAGCAAUUAUCAAAGUGAACAGAAACAGCUUCUCUGUUGGCAAUCACCAUAACUAUUUCCCUGGAGGAGGUGCUACUGUCCAUUUACAGAGCUGGAUUAUCCCCGGACCCAGGUCAAAGGGGGAAUAGGAUGAUUAUUGGUAAAACAUCUAUUUUGCUCAGAGAAGGCAUCAAAUUCAGUCAAUGGGGGUCAGGUAGGUGAUGAGAGAGGUCCCUUUCCCAAGACCCUAGAGAGCUGCAUCCUAUACAAAUAAACCCAGUAACUGAGUGGUCUAACUAAGCACAAGUCAACUUCAUGUCAUGAAUCAUAGAAUCAUAGAAUCGUAGAGUUGGAAGAGACCUCAUGGGCCAUCCAGUCCAACCCCCUGCCAAGAAGCAGGAAAUUGCAUUCAAAGCACCCCUGACAGAUGGCCAUCCAGCCUCUGUUUAAAAGCCUCCAAAGAAGGAGCCUCCACCACAGGGGGAGAGAGUUCCACUGCCGAACAGCCCUUCUCACAGUGAGGAAGUUCUUCCUGAUGUUCAGGUGGAAUCUCCUUUCCUGUAGUUUGAAGCCAUUGUUCCGUGUCCUAGUCUGCAGGGCAGCAGAAAACAAGCUUGCUCCCUCCUCCCUAUGACUUCCCCUCACAUAUUUGUACAUGGCUAUCAUGUCUCCUCUCAGCCUUCUCUUCUGCAGGCUAAACAAGCCCUAUGAGGAGCGGCUUAAAGAACUGGGCAUGUUUAUUUAUUUAUUUAUUUACAGUAUUUAUAUUCCGCCCUUCUCACCCCGAAGGGGACUCAGGGCGGAUUACAAUGAACACAUAUAUGGCAAACAUUCAAUGCCAACAGACAAACAACAUUCAGUUUUAGACAGACACAGAGGCAUUUUAACAUCUUUCCAGCCUCACGAUUCCGGCCACAGGGGGAGCUGUUGCUUCACCGUCCAUUAGUGGCUGUUCUUCCUCAUUCUUUUCCUCGUGAGCAAUUUUAUGGUGUUGUAGAUUAGUUAAAUUAGCCUCCUGCAUAAAGCGUACCUAAAUUUUCCCUACUUAACAGAUGCAACUGUCUUUCGGGGCUGCAUAGGUCAACAGCAAGCCGGGGCUAUUUUUUUUUUAAUGGUCGGAGGCUUAACCCGACCUGGGCUUCGAACUCAUGACCUCUCGGUCAGUAGUGAUUUAUAGCAGCUGGUUACUAGCCAGCUGCGCCACAGCCCGGCCCGGUUUAGCCUGCAGAAGAGAAGGCUGAGAGGAGACAUGAUAGCCAUGUACAAAUAUGUGAGGGGAAGUCAUAGGGAGGAGGGAGCAAGCUUGUUUUCUGCUGCCCUGAAGACUAGGACGAGGAACAAUGGCUUCAAACUACAGGAAAGGAGAUUCCACCUGAACAUCAGGAAGAACUUCCUUACUGUGAGAAAGGCUGUUCGGCAGUGGAACUCUCUGCCCCAGACUGUGGUGGAGGCUCCUUCUUUGGAGGCUUUUAAGCAGAGGCUGGAUGGCCAUCUGUCAGGGGUGCUUUGAACGUGAUUUCCUGCUUCUUAGCAGGGGGUUGCAUUGGAUGGCCCAUGAGGUCUCUUCCAACUCUACUAUUCUAUGAUUCUAUGAUUCUAUGAAAUGAGUUUUUCUAGCAGCUUUUUGUAAACAUUGGGGGCAUUUUGGACAUGGCCACAAGCCAACGUUCUUUAGCUAUGAAGAGACAUUUCACUGCAUUGCUAUAGGAGCCAUGGUGGUGCAAUGGGUUAAACCAGGGGUUCUCAACCUGUUGGUCUCCAGGUGUUUUGGCCUACAGCUCCCAGAAAUCUCAGCCAGUUUACGAGCUGUUAGGAUUUCUGGGAGCUGAAGGCCAAAACAUCCGGGGACCCACAGGUUGAGAAACACUGGGUUAAACCCUUGUGACAGCUGACCUGAAGAUCUGAAGCUUCCAUGUAGGGACCUACCUGGAGAAGCAUUUCCUUUACCUGAGA
rnacentral:lncRNA from 1 species